rnacentral:rRNA from 1 species
AUACGGAGGGUGCAAGCGUUAUUCGGAAUCACUGGGCGUAAAGGACGCGUAGGCGGGUUGGCAAGUCAGAUGUGAAAUCCUACAGCUUAACUGUAGAACUGCAUUUGAAACUGCUAACCUAGAGUAUGGGAGGGGGAGAUGGAAUUAGUGGUGUAGGGGUAAAAUCCGUAGAUAUCACUAGGAAUACCGAAAGCGAAGGCGUUCUCCUGGAACAUAACUGACGCUAAGGCGUGAAAGCGUGGGGAGCAAACAGGAUUAGAAACCCUAGUAGUCC